GGCGCUAUAGCCAAGUGGUUACGGCGACAGAUUAGAAUGCUGCGAGAUGAUAGAUUUAUCUGUUCCUCUUUGAGGGCGCAGGUUCAAAUCCUGCUGGCGUCG
rnacentral:tRNA from 1 species